rnacentral:rRNA from 1 species
GUCGUAAACCGCCCGUCUUGAAACACGGACCAAGGAGUCUCAGAACAGUGCGAGUGUUGUGGUGAUGCAAAGCCAAGGCGCGCAGUGAAGGCAAGAUGUUACAAGGUCCGCAGUCUUAGCAGAUGGAAGGAUCGGCCCGUUGGUGCUCCUCGGAGCAGCGAUCGGAGUUGUAGCAGUGUUCUGGGGACCCGAAAGAUGGUGAUCUAUGCUUGUGUAGAAAGAAGUCAGGGGAAACUCUGAUGGAAGUUCGCAAACGGUUCUGACGUGCAAAUCGAUCGUGAGACAUGGGUAUAGGGGCGAAAGACUCAUCGAACCAUCUAGUAGCUGGUUCCCUCCGAAG